GGCGCUAUGGCCGAGUGGUUAAGGCGACAGAUUCGAAUCUCAUGCUUAUCUGUUCCGGUUUCCGGGCGCAGGUUCAAAUCCUGCUGGCGUCG